rnacentral:ncRNA from 1 species
UUUCCUUGGUCAAAUUGUAGGCCCUUUAUAAUGGUAACAUUAUAUUUUGCAUAUCAUAAAUUGCUAAAACAUCCGAAUAUUUUAUGCGAUGCUAGACCUAUCUAGUAUACAAAAAGUAGGGAAAUUAGCAGGAAACCUAUAGAUAUUUAAAUAUAUACGUAGGAUCUUCAGAGACUACACAUGAUAUAUCCAUUUUCCUUGGAUAAAGACAUAGUCCAACACCUAUAGAAAUAUAGGU